UUUGUAGAAGGUAUACUUGGAUCUUUUUUAUAUCCUUAUUCAGAUAGAAUACCAGUAUAGCAGCUCCUAGGAUUUGUCACAAAUGGAAAAUGACAUGUCAUCUUCAUUUCAAAAUUACAGUUCUUAAAUCUGGGGAGGAAAGCCAACACCCUUUUGGACCAUGAAUACUGCCCAGAGUCCAUCAGCUACUCCGUUUGGAAUUUCAGCAGUUUCACAGACACAGACUCCUGCAGGCAAUGCUGCAGCAUCCUGAGUUGAUUCAUUCACUCAGUGAGCCAUAAAAUAUGAGACAAUUUCUCACACUUUGCUUCAUCAUUUGCUGUUUUUCAGGCCAAGAUGACAACGAGCCCAGCUGAAGCUGACAUCCCAGCAAAUUGCAUGACAAAUUGCAAAGACGACUAACCCACAACCUACUCUUCUGGAAA
rnacentral:lncRNA from 1 species